UAGCGGCGGACGGGUGAGUAACACGUGGGCAACCUGCCUAUAAGACUGGGAUAACUUCGGGAAACCGGAGCUAAUACCGGAUAAUGUUUUUUGACUCAUGUCGAGAAACUGAAAGAUGGCUUC
rnacentral:rRNA from 1 species